AGGGCACCACCAGGAGUGGAGCCUGCGGCUUAAUUUGACUCAACACGGGAAAACUCACCCGGCCCGGACACUGAAAGGAUUGACAGAUUGAGAGCUCUUUCUUGAUUCAGUGGGUGGUGGUGCAUGGCCGUUCUUAGUUGGUGGGGCGAUUUGUCUGGUUAAUUCCGAUAACGAACGAGACUCUAGCCUACUAAAUAGAUCGCCGGCUUACCCACGCCGGCGAGACUUCUUAGAGGGACAGGUGGCGUUUCAGCCACACGAAACAGAGCAAUAACAGGUCUGUGAUGCCCUUAGAUGUCCGGGGCCGCACGCGCGCUACACUGAAGUGAUCAGCGUGCUUAUUAAGCCUACUCUGCCAAGAGUGGGAAACCCAAUGAAUCUUCUUCGUGAUUGGGAUAGGAGAUUGUAAUUAUUCUCCUUGAACGAGGAAUUCCCAGUAAGCGCGAGUCAUAAGCUCGCGUUGAUUACGUCCCUGCCCUUUGUACACACCGCCCGUCACUACUACCGAUUGAAUGUUUU
rnacentral:rRNA from 1 species